AUUGAUUUUUAAUAAUCUCUUUUCUAAAGAUUGUCCUGAGGGGGAGGGGAUCCUGUCUCGUGCUGUGAAUAACAGCUGCGAAGUUCAGGUCGGAGUUGAAUGACUCAGCUUUGGGUCGAUCCUCCCCCUCCGUCCACAGCUCACAAAAAAAAAAAAACUGUGAACUUCAAAGAAGAUUCUUACCAGCUGAGAUUCCUCACUGCUUUUUUCUUG